rnacentral:rRNA from 1 species
UACGAAGGGUGCAAGCGUUAAUCGGAAUUACUGGGGGUAAAGGGUGCGUAGUCGGUUCGUUAAGUCUGUCGUGAAAUCCCCGGGCUCAACCUGGGAAUGGCGAUGGAUACUGGCGAGCUAGAGUGUGUCAGAGGAUGGUGGAAUUCCCGGUGUAGCGGUGAAAUGCGUAGAGAUCGGGAGGAACAUCAGUGGCGAAGGCGGCCAUCUGGGACAACACUGACGCUGAAGCACGAAAGCGUGGGGAGCAAACAGG